rnacentral:lncRNA from 1 species
GGGUCAGAACUCUCUGUGAUGUCAUCCUAUCCUUUGGAAUCUGUAUUCUUCUUCUAAGUGCAGUACUGUACUUUUUAUAAAAUAACUCUUGCAGAUGGGAGAAUUUUUAUGGGUAGAAUUUGGGACAUGGGUUCAUUUCAUCUUUCUUGACACCUCCUCCAGCUCCAACUUCCUCCUCCUUUAAGUGCAUACACCUGAAUCACCACCUCCACUUGCAAACUCUUCCUGGUUAGAGCAACUAUCCGUAUGGUGCUCAGCUUCCAGAUGGAGAAUUGUCUAGAUAUUGAAAAGGAAACCAACCUUCAUGGAUUACAGGCAGCCUUAGUGGGAGCCCUCCCUUUCCCCUUGGUGUUGUGAUGAGGGGAGCUUCAACACUGACAGCAACAACCACUCCAAGCCUAAUAGAUUGUGUGUCCUGCUUUUCUCAAAGCCCAGACUGUGCACUCUCCUAUUACAUGGUGGAAUUGUUGAGAAGUAACAUGGUGGAGUUGGGAAGGAUCUCAUGGCUUCUUCCAUCAAUGAGAGCCUCAUAUGACUAA